UACGAGGGGGGCGAGCGUUGUUCGGAAUUAUUGGGCGUAAAGGGUACGUAGGCGGGCUCGCAGGUCAGGGGUGAAAGCCCACGGCUCAACCGUGGAAGUGCCUUUGAUACCGUGAGUCUCGAGGGAGGUAGGGGCGUGCGGAACUUCCGGUGGAGCGGUGAAAUGCGUAGAUAUCGGAAGGAACAUCGGUGGCGAAAGCGGCGCGCUGGACCUCUUCUGACGCUGAGGCGCGAAAGCCAGGGGAGCAAACGGG
rnacentral:rRNA from 1 species